AGAUUUCCAAUCCUAUUUCCUCCGGUCACUUCGCCUCAGUUAUCUUACCAGCCGAAAAGGGAAACUAGCACCAUCUUCCUCGCGCUGGCAGGAGAGUUUAUCAAGCUAAUAGCGCACAUGACAGCGCUUGGCUCACAGUAAGCACUCAGUUCACCUGGGUUGAAAGUCAGCCACUAAUUAUCUCCUGGUACCCCUGAACUCUUCUAAGGCCGAGGGGAAGGGCUGCCGAGCUCGAGCAGGCCGGAGCGCCAGGGCUGUGGGAGCCACCGCGGGCACCUUCACCAACAGCGGAUCCCAUCCCCAAACGAGCCGGGCCUGGAGACAGCAAGGGCGUGAGGCCAAGGCCUCCUUCAGGCGGCCUGGAGCCGCCGCCUUCCCUUUUGCCGCAAACCUGGCCAUUUAGAGAGAGCAGAGGAAGAAGAGCAAGUUGCUGCGAGAAUAAAAGGUUGAGCACGGCGAUGCCCGCUAAGCAGGACACCGCUCACUUACCGGCAGGCCUACUCGCCAUUUUAACCCGAGACAGAACCGUUGCCUGCUGGGUGAAGUUCUACCUCAAGCCAUUAUAGUGGAAGCGCUAUAUGCAGUACUAAAAGGUGAUGAAUGGCUGCUCCCAGACUACACUAGCCAAAGUGAAGUUGGAAGAUAUGAAGAAAUGCAGUACAUUUGUAAGUUGGCACAUCGCCUUAGAAGAAGUACUCAGUAGGGACUUCCCUGGUGGCGCAGUGUUUAAGAAUCCGCCUGCCAGUGCAGGGGACAUGGGUUCGAGCCCUGGUCCGGGCACAUCCCACAUGCUGCGGAGCAGCUAAGCCCGUGCGCCACAACUACUGAGCCUGCACUCUAAAGCCUGUGAGCCACAACUACUGAGCCCGAGUGCCACAACUACUGAAGCUCAUGUGCCUAGAGCCCGUGCUCUGCAACAAGCCACCGCAAUGAGAAGCCCACGCAGUGCAACAAAGAGUAGCCCCCGCUCGCCACAACUAGAGAAAGCCCGCACGCAGCAACGAAGACCCAACA